rnacentral:lncRNA from 1 species
UGUCUGGGAUACCUGGGAUGAUGCGACACUUGUCAAUAAGGAAAACUUAUGGAGUCCAGUGACUUGCUGGAGCCCAGGUACCGUGGACUGUAUGAAUACCUGCUAACAGUGUAAAACAGAUCAACUCCUUCAUCUGGCCCAGUCCAGCUCUGCGCAAGCGUUUGAGUGGUAGGACUGAGAAGAAGGAGCAGGAAACCGAAUGAGGCAGAACUGCAUAUUUGGUGGUCACUCCAAUCAUCCCGUCAAAACUACAAAAUAUUCUGUGCUUUAUACCUGAAAAUAUCAAGGAGAGUCUCCAGACAGAUCCCCAAAUCAUUGUGUUAAAGUGACACUUGUACUAGUCCGGCAGAGGAGAUCCUAGGAGUCAAGGCUAUACGCAGGUAUG